rnacentral:tRNA from 1 species
GGCACCAUGGCUUAGCUUGCUUAAAGCCCCUGCCUUAUAAACAGAAGAUCCUGGGUUCAACUCCUAGUGGUGCCU